rnacentral:tRNA from 1 species
AGACGGUGUCGAGCCAGGCCUUCAAAGCCAACGGCGGCCCCCAGCCCAUCGA